UACGUAGGGUGCGAGCGUUGUCCGGAAUUAUUGGGCGUAAAGAGCUCGUAGGCGGUGUGUCACGUCGGCCGUGAAAACCCGCAGCUCAACUGCGGGCUUGCGGUUGAUACGGGUGGGCUGGAGUUCGGUAGGGGAGACUGGAAUUCCUGGUGUAGCGGUGAAAUGCGCAGAUAUCAGGAGGAACACCGGUGGCGAAGGCGGCUUUCUGGGCCUUACCUGACGCUGGAGACCGCGAAAGCGUCGGGGAGCGAACCGG
rnacentral:rRNA from 1 species